rnacentral:tRNA from 1 species
AGUACUACGCCGGAUGAACGGAAAUCAUUGAUGUUGAUUAAUAUAUGGUUAUAUAACCUUUAGUACUA